AUUGAACGCUGGCGGCAUGCCUUACACAUGCAAGUCGAACGGUAACGCGGGGCAACCUGGCGACGAGUGGCGAACGGGUGAGUAAUACAUCGGAACGUGCCCAGUAGUGGGGGAUAGCCCGGCGAAAGCCGGAUUAAUACCGCAUACGACCUACGGGUGAAAGCGGGGGAUCGCAAAACCUCGCGCUAUUGGAGCGGCCGAUGUCAGAUUAGGUAGUUGGUGGGGUAAAGGCCUACCAAGCCUACGAUCUGUAGCUGGUCUGAGAGGCCGACCAGCCACACUGGGACUGGGACACGGCCCAGGCUCCUACGGGAGUCAGCAGUGGGGAAUUUUGGACAAUGGGCGCAAGCCUGAUCCAGCCAUGCCGCGUGCGGGAAGAAGGCCUUCGGGUUGUAAACCGCUUUUGUCAGGGAAGAAACGCUCCGGGCUAAUACCCUGGGGUAAUGACGGUACCUGAAGAAUAAGCACCGGCUAACUACGUGCCAGCCGCCGCGGUAACAC
rnacentral:rRNA from 1 species